rnacentral:rRNA from 1 species
UAGGGAAUCUUCGGCAAUGGGGGGAACCCUGACCGAGCAACGCCGCGUGAGUGAAGAAGGUUUUCGGAUCGUAAAGCUCUGUUGUUAAGGAAGAACGAGUGUGAGAAUGGAAAGUUCAUACUGUGACGGUACUUAACCAGAAAGGGACGGCUAACUAUGUGCCAGCAGCCGCGGUAAUACGUAGGUCCCGAGCGUUGUCCGGAUUUAUUGGGCGUAAAGCGAGCGCAGGCGGUUAGAUAAGUCUGAAGUUAAAGGCAGUGGCUCAACCAUUGUAGGCUUUGGAAACUGUUUAACUUGAGUGCAGAAGGGGAGAGUGGAAUUCCAUGUGUAGCGGUGAAAUGCGUAGAUAUAUGGAGGAACACCGGUGGCGAAAGCGGCUCUCUGGUCUGUAACUGACGCUGAGGCUCGAAAGCGUGGGGAGCGAACAGG